UGCAGUCGAGCGGACCGACGGGAGCUUGCUCCCUUAGGUCAGCGGCGGACGGGUGAGUAACACGUGGGUAACCUGCCUGUAAGACUGGGAUAACUCCGGGAAACCGGGGCUAAUACCGGAUGCUUGAUUGAACCGCAUGGUUCAAUCAUAAAAGGUGGCUUUUAGCUACCACUUACAGAUGGACCCGCGGCGCAUUAGCUAGUUGGUGAGGUAACGGCUCACCAAGGCGACGAUGCGUAGCCCACCUGAGAGGGUGAUCGGCCACACUGGGACUGAAACACGGCCCAGACUCCUACGGGAGGCAGCAGUAGGGAAUCUUCCGCAAUGGACGAAAGUCUGACGGAACAACGCCGCGUGAGUGAUGAAGGUUUUCGGAUCGUAAAACUCUGUUGUUAGGGAAGAACAAGUACCGUUCGAAUAGGGCGGCACCUUGACGGUACCUAACCAGAAAGCCACGGCUAACUACGUGCCAGCAGCCGCGGUAAUACGUAGGUGGCAAGCGUUGUCCGGAAUUAUUGGGCGUAAAGCGCGCGCAGGCGGUUUCUUAAGUCUGAUGUGAAAGCCCCCGGCUCAACCGGGGAGGGUCAUUGGAAACUGGGGAACUUGAGUGCAGAAGAAGAGAGUGGAAUUCCACGUGUAGCGGUGAAAUGCGUAGAGAUGUGGAGGAACACCAGUGGCGAAGGCGACUCUCUGGUCUGUAACUGACGCU
rnacentral:rRNA from 1 species